UACGUAGGGGGCAAGCGUUGUCCGGAUUUAUUGGGCGUAAAGAGCGUGUAGGCGGCCAGGUAGGUCGGUUGUGAAAACUGGAGGCUCAACCUCCAGACGUCGACCGAAACCAUCUGGCUAGAGUGCGGAAGAGGCGAGUGGAAUUCCUGGUGUAGCGGUGAAAUGCGCAGAUAUCAGGAGGAACACCAAUUGCGAAGGCAGCUCGCUGGGACGUAACUGACGCUGAGACGCGAAAGCGUGGGGAGCAAACAGG
rnacentral:rRNA from 1 species